CACCUCCACCACCACCAGCAGCAGCUUCUCUCCACCAAAGAAGCGCUUGAGAGUGUGACUGGAUCUAACACCAUCCUCCACCAGUUCUCAUGCUCCAAGCAGACAUUAAGCAGCUCCUGUUGGACCAAUGCGUCUGGCAGGGCUGUUAUUGUAAAUAUGUAUAUAGUUGAUUUCAUCCUGGUACACAGGUCAGUGUUUUUGGUGCUUCCUGCACCUUUCUUUCUUUCUUGGUGCUGGCCUGUGUCUGAUAUUGUACAAAACAUGAGGGAGCUUCCAGGAACUCUUGAGAGAGGAGCUCUCUCCAAAGACUGUCACCUGAUUUUUUCCAAACUGGAUGAAUUGGAAACUCUAAAUUGCCUCAUUAAUGGCACUGACUCAUCACUAGCAUCACAAGCUUCAGAGUCAAGUCUGAGCUAGGACUGAGAAGACCUGUAACAACAGCUGCAGGGACAGAGUCAGAGCCUGAAAACACUCCUGAUCCAGGUCGACGAGGAAGAACAGGCUGAGAGAAGAAGCAGGAAAAGACAAGAACAGCAGCAACAGAGAGUGAAGAGCUUCACCUCACCUGCACCUCUCAGCCAACCAGACCAGCCAGUGGUGGACAGAGUGGACAACAGAAAGAGAAGAAGAGUCCAGAUGAGACCAGCAGAGGAGACACCAUGCACUGUCAAACCUCUUAUUAUAAAAUGAGAGAGAAAACAACAUGAGGAACAGACCAGACCAGACCAGACCAGGGACGAGGAGACAGGACGCCAUGGACUAGAGAGGACACAAAACAACAUGAGGAACAAAGAGAGGAGACCAGACCAGACCAGGGCUGAGGAGACUGAUGCACUGUGAACCCUCUUAUUAAAAAAGAUAAGUUUACAUUCAUUAUAUGUCUUCAUCAACAAUUCUAUGAUGAUAAAUAAUUCUUCUUUAUACAUCAUUUUGAUGAAGUUAUUAACUGUUAUUUCUUCUUAUCUGUCACUUGUUUUUUAGAGGAGAGGAGGGAGGAUGCAGUACAGAGCUCUGUAAACUCUCUUUUACAAAAAGAUAAGUACAUGUUUAUUUUAUGUUAUUAUCAGAGUUCCUACACAGAUGAAAAGUUUUUCCUGGUGCUGAAGUUGUUUAUGAACUGUCACCUUCCCUUGUCCUCCACUUGUCUUUUAGAGAAAAGAGAUAAAACAACAUGAAGAGAAACGAGUCAGAGACCAGACGAGACGAGUGACAACCAGAGGAGACACCAUUCACUUCUUUCAGAGAGAGAAGAGGAGAGGAAUUGAAGGGAGAAGGAGACAGCAUGCAGAGUGAACGCUCUCAUUUAAAAAGAUGAGUUUACAUUUAUUUCAUUCAAUCAUUAAAACUCAUAUAUUGUUGAAUUCUUCACCUGUUGUGUUGCUGAGGUUAUUAACUCUUAUUCUUCCUUAUCUGGCCCCACAUGUCCUCCUCAUCUGUUGCAGCAGCAUCACCACAGACACUUUGCUGUCCUGAAGAUCAUAAGUGUUACACCUACAUCUGUACAUCUGCUAAAUUCAUUCCACCAUGAGAUGUAACUCUCAAGGAGUUCUUGAAUCCUCUCUGGAUAAAAUAAAUGUCAUUUGUUUAACCCCUUAAAAAUAUUGAUAUUGUUUUUUAUCAUUGUUAAGACAUCCCAAAGAAAGGAAAUAAACAGAGCAUCAUUGUUACUGAAUGACAUUUCAGUCUAAAAUCUUUAAACCACUUUAAGUCUGGUUUCACUGAGAUUUAGAGAGAUCACUGGAUUCAGAGUCCAGAGUGUUAACCAUUACACCAUGGGGCCGGUGUGUUGGGCUGCUGGGGGAGGUCACUGCCAUGAGGGA